rnacentral:rRNA from 1 species
CACGUAGGGACCAAGCGUUGUCCGGAUUUAUUGGGCGUAAAGAGCGUGUAGGCGGCCAUGUAGGUCCGGUGUGAAAACUCGAGGCUUAACCUCGAGAUGUCAUCGGAAACCAUUUGGCUAGAGUCCGGAAGAGGAGAGUGGAAUUCCUGGUGUAGCGGUGAAAUGCGCAGAUAUCAGGAAGAACACCAAUGGCGAAAGCAGCUCUCUGGGACGGUACUGACGCUGAGACGCGAAAGCGUGGGGAGCGAACAGG